rnacentral:lncRNA from 1 species
GGCCCAAGAGCUCAGUAGCUCACUUAUCUUUUCUAGUAAAAGGUGACUUGGUCAUUUUACCAAGAAGACAGGACUCAUAGGUUGGAAGUGAUUCACAAUCACUGACUUCGAGGAUUCUCUCUUGAGUCAAUCUAUUUAUUUUGUUCUUGUUUAUAUGACCUAGCCUACAGUGCCAUAAGUAGAUAUCUGACACACUAUCUAAUCUAGGAUGCUUGCCAGUAGAAUAG